rnacentral:rRNA from 1 species
UACGAAGGUUGCAAGCGUUACUCGGAAUUACUAGGCGUAAAGGGCAGGUAGGUGGUUUGGUAAGUCUGUUGUGAAAGCUCCUUGCUUAACGGGGAGAGGUCAACAGAUACUGCCAGGCUUGAGUCUAGGAGAGGGUACUGGAAUUCCCGGUGUAGCGGUGAAAUGCGCAGAGAUCGGGAGGAACACCAAUGGCGAAAGCAGGUACCUGGACUAGUACUGACACUCAGCUGCGAAAGCUAGGGGAGCAAACAGG